ACGCCUCAAAUUUCCAUAAACCUCGGUCUAAACUCCCACCUCCCACCUCCCACGAAACCCUCAACUACUCAUCUGAAAACCAACUUGUGAACUCGCUGCUUCCUCUUCUUCACCACAACCGAAUCGCUCCUUGGCUAUGCCGAGGUUUUGAAGGGCUACCCAUCAAAUAAUUAGAUUGUAAAUUGUUGCAGUACAAUAACCCUCGAGGAUUAUUUUCUCUUGAGUGUUGACGUCUAUAGGUUACUGGGAAGAAGUAUUGAUUUGAGAUGCCUGAUCUCACAACGUAUGAACAAGGCAUUCAGAGAGAAUCUGAAAUUUUUGUUUGAUCGUUUUGAGUCCCAAGAUAUAUGUGCUAUCGUGAUUAUUGAUGAUUCAAGUGGUAAUGGUAAAAUAUAGAUCAAGAUUAACAAGUUAUGUUGAAGCAGCUAACAUAGCAAUAGGUUUACUUGGUAAUUAGUUCGGUUUCCUUGGUAUUUAGUUUUGGACUAUCUUAUAGAAAAAAUGAUGUUAUAAAGUUGUUUUUGUUAUAACAUAUUGCUUUUACUUCAGUUUGACUAGACUCUGCAAAUUAAUCCAAUGUAUGGAUGAUUGUUAUCACUUUUUAUAAAUUAAUCAAAGCACGACGUUACGUUGUUUUA